rnacentral:lncRNA from 1 species
GUCAGCAUUAGGGUUUUAAACCCUAAACUGAACUUUUCCUUUAGUCAGCAUUAGGGUUUUAAACCCUAAACUAAGCUUUUUCCUUUAGUCAGCAUUAGGGUUUUAAACCCUAAACUGAACUUUUUCCAUUCAGUCAGUAUUAGGGUUUGAAACCCUAAACUGAACUUUUUCCAGUCAGUCAGUAUUAGGCUUUUAAACCCUAAGCUGAACUUUUCCUUUAGUCAGCGUUAGGGUUUUAAACCCUAAACUGAACUUUUCCUUUAGUCAGUAUUAGGGUUUUAAACCCUAAACUGAAUCUUUUCCAUUCAGUCAGUUUUAGGGUUUUAAACCCUAAACUGAAUCUUUUCCAUUCAGUCAGUUUUAGUGUUUUAAACCCUAAACUGAAUUUUUCCUUUCAGUCAGUAUUAGGGUUUUAAACCCUAAACUUAACUUCUCCUUUAGUCAGCAUUAGGGUUUUAAACCCUAAACUGAACUUUUCCUUUAGUCAGCAUUAGGGUUUUAAACCCUAAACUGAAUCUUUUCCAUUCAGUCAGUUUUAGGGUUUAAACCCUAAACUGAAUUUUUCCACUCAGUCAGUAUUAGUGUUUUAAACCCUAAACUGAACUUAUCAUUUAGUCAGCAUUAGGGUUUUAAACCCUAAACUGAACUUUUCCUUUAGUCAGCAUUAGGGGUUAAAACCCUAAACUGAACUUUUCCUUUAGUCAGUGUUAGGGUUUUAAACCCUAAACUGAACUUUUCCAUUCAGUCAGUAUUAGGGUUUUAAACCCUAAACUGAAUCUUUUCCAUUCAGUCAGUUUUAGGGUUUUACACCCUAAACUAAAUUUUUCCAU